rnacentral:rRNA from 1 species
GUCCUUUGGACAAUGGUAGGAGAGCGUUCUAAGGGCGUUGAAGCAUGAUCGUAAGGACAUGUGGAGCGCUUAGAAGUGAGAAUGCCGGUGUGAGUAGCGAAAGACGGGUGAGAAUCCCGUCCACCGAUUGACUAAGGUUUCCAGAGGAAGGCUCGUCCGCUCUGGGUUAGUCGGGUCCUAAGCUGAGGCCGACAGGCGUAGGCGAUGGAUAACAGGUUGAUAUUCCUGUACCACCUAUAAUCGUUUUAAUCGAUGGGGGGACGCAGUAGGAUAGGCGAAGCGUGCGAUUGGAUUGCACGUCUAAGCAGUAAGGCUGAGUAUUAGGCAAAUCCGGUACUCGUUAAGGCUGAGC